UGGGGAAUUUUGGACAAUGGGCGCAAGCCUGAUCCAGCCAUGCCGCGUGCGGGAAGAAGGCCUUCGGGUUGUAAACCGCUUUUGUCAGGGAAGAAAUCUUCUGAGUUAAUACCUCGGGAGGAUGACGGUACCUGAAGAAUAAGCACCGGCUAACUACGUGCCAGCAGCCGCGGUAAUACGUAGGGUGCAAGCGUUAAUCGGAAUUACUGGGCGUAAAGCGUGCGCAGGCGGUUUUGUAAGACAGAGGUGAAAUCCCCGGGCUCAACCUGGGAACUGCCUUUGUGACUGCAAGGCUUGAGUGCGGCAGAGGGGGAUGGAAUUCCGCGUGUAGCAGUGAAAUGCGUAGAUAUGCGGAGG
rnacentral:rRNA from 1 species